GGGCCCGCACAAGCGGUGGAGUAUGUGGUUUAAUUCGAUGCAACGCGAAGAACCUUACCAGGGUUUGACAUCCUGCGAAUCUCUUGGAAACGAGAGAGUGCCUUCGGGAGCGCAGUGACAGGUGGUGCAUGGCUGUCGUCAGCUCGUGUCGUGAGAUGUUGGGUUAAGUCCCGCAACGAGCGCAACCCACGUCUUUAGUUGCCAGCAUUUAGUUGGGCACUCUAGAGAGACCGCCGGUGAUAAACCGGAGGAAGGUGUGGAUGACGUCAAGUCAUCAUGCCCCUUACAUCCUGGGCUACACACGUACUACAAUGCUACGGACAAAGAGCAGCAAGUUCGCGAGGACAAGCAAAUCUCAUAAACCGUGGCUCAGUUCAGAUCGUAGGCUGCAACUCGAGUGCAUGAAGUCGGAAUC
rnacentral:rRNA from 1 species